CCUACGGGAGGCAGCAGUAGGGAAUCUUGCGCAAUGGGCGAAAGCCUGACGCAGCCAUGCCGCGUGAAUGAUGAAGGUCUUAGGAUUGUAAAAUUCUUUCACCGGGGACGAUAAUGACGGUACCCGGAGAAGAAGCCCCGGCUAACUUCGUGCCAGCAGCCGCGGUAAUACGAAGGGGGCUAGCGUUGCUCGGAAUUACUGGGCGUAAAGGGAGCGUAGGCGGAUAGUUUAGUCAGAGGUGAAAGCCCAGGGCUCAACCUUGGAACUGCCUUUGAUACUGGCUAUCUUGAGUAUGGGAGAGGUGAGUGGAACUCCGAGUGUAGAGGUGAAAUUCGUAGAUAUUCGGAAGAACACCAGUGGCGAAGGCGACUCACUGGCCCAUUACUGACGCUGAGGCUCGAAAGCGUGGGGAGCAAACAGGAUUAGAUACCCUGGUAGUCCACGCCGUAAACGAUGAGUGCUAGUUGUCGGCAUGCAUGCAUGUCGGUGACGCAGCUAACGCAUUAAGCACUCCGCCUGGGGAGUACGGUCGCAAGNUUAAAACUCAAAUUGAAUUGACGG
rnacentral:rRNA from 1 species